rnacentral:rRNA from 1 species
ACGCUCGACACCUACGGGAGGCAGCAGUGGGGAAUAUUGCACAAUGGGGGAAACCCUGAUGCAGCGACGCCGCGUGAGCGAAGAAGUAUUUCGGUAUGUAAAGCUCUAUCAGCAGGGAAGAUCAUGACGGUACCUGACUAAGAAGCUCCGGCUAAAUACGUGCCAGCAGCAGCGGUAAUCUGAGGCGGGCUGGCAAGGC